CAGUGGUCGUCGGUGGAUGGGC
rnacentral:miRNA from 1 species